GGGACAGAUGAUUGGGGUGAAGUCGUAACAAGGUAGCCGUAGGAGAACCUGCGGCUGGAUCACCUCCUUUCUAAGGAA
rnacentral:rRNA from 1 species